CAGCCGCCACGGUAAUACGGAGGGUGCAAGCGUUAAUCGGAAUUACUGGGCGUAAAGCGCACGCAGGCGGUCUGUCAAGUCAGAUGUGAAAUCCCCGGGCUUAACCUGGGAACUGCAUUUGAAACUGGCAGGCUAGAGUCUUGUAGAGGGGGGUAGAAUUCCAGGUGUAGCGGUGAAAUGCGUAGAGAUCUGGAGGAAUACCGGUGGCGAAGGCGGCCCCCUGGACAAAGACUGACGCUCAGGUGCGAAAGCGUGGGGAGCAAACAGGAUUAGAGACCCGUGUAGUCCCUGUCUCUUAUAA
rnacentral:rRNA from 1 species